rnacentral:rRNA from 1 species
AUGACUCUGUGGUUACACACAGGAGCAACAGCUUUCUUCCCUCGAUUUAAAACGGAUAGGGACAGACGAGUCUCUCCUCAUGGUCGUAGCAGGCCAUGCCUAUUUAAUCGCACCCGUCCGCUCUCCCCCAUCUCUCUCUCUCUCUCUCUCUCUCUCUUCUUCUUCUCCUUCUUUCUCUUCAGAUCCCCGGAAGCCCCAGACCCAGAGCAACUGACCACCAAGUUCUCGGGCAUGGACAACGACGGCGACUGGAUCACGGCGAGGUACCUCCUCUCCUCCAUCCUCGGCCGGAACCCCCUCGUCGUCGACCACGUCGACGAGGAGUCCUUCCCGGUCGACCACGCCCCCGCCGCCGCCGCCCGCGGCGGGCCGGCGGAGGCGCCGGCGUGGCAGCCGCCGCCGGCCGUGUUCGCGGCGCCGAGCGUGGCCGGCACGGUGUGCGCGGUGUGCACGGAGGAGAUCGCGGUGGCGGACCCCGUGGUGCGGCUGCCGUGCGCGCACUGGUACCACGCCGGCUGCAUCGCGCCCUGGCUCGGGAUCCGGAGCACCUGCCCCAUGUGCCGCGCCGAGCUGCCGGCCAGGGAGGAGGCCGGCGAGGCCGGCGCCGGCGUCGGCCGCGAGAAGCCCCCGCGCGCCGAGGCCGGGACCAGCGCCGCCGGCGUGCGGCGUGACGCGUCGUACGGAUACGUGGCCGCUGGGGGCGUCCUGUCCGGCUGA